AUUCCAGCUCCAGUAGCGUAUAUUAAAGUUGUUGCAGUUAAAAAGCUCGUAGUUGGAUUUCUGACUUCAGAUACCUGACCCUCCCUCGCUAGAGGUGUGUGUGCCGGAGUAUUUGUAUCAUCCUUUCAGUGAUCGGCUCUACCCUUAACCGGGUCGGAGCUGCUAGCUGGAUCUUUUACUUUGAAGAAAUUGGAGUGUUUAAAGCAGGCUUACGCCAGAACAUAUUAGCAUGGAAUAACAAUUUAGGACUUUUGUUCUAUUUUGUUGGUUUCUAGGGCGAAAGUAAUGAUUGAUAGGGAUAGUUGGGGGUGCUAGUAUUCGGCGGCCAGAGGUGAAAUUCUUUGAUCCGCUGAAGACUAACUUAUGCGAAAGCAUUCACCAAGGAUGUCUUCAUCA
rnacentral:rRNA from 1 species